GCUCCAGGCCCCUCUCACACCUGGGGGCGGCGGGGAGAAAAACGCAGACAUUCUGCAACAAUGAGGCUUUGCCUGAAAUAACCCGCUGCCUUAUCUGAAAGCGGAGAUAAGAGGACCCAGAGCACAAAGGGAAAUGCACAGAUCACUUCUGGCUGCCUGAAGGAAAGCUGACUCACAUCUCAUCAUGUCUGUGGACAAGCAAGUAAUCACAGAAGGAGAAGGAGGAUCAAUCACAGUUCUGUCUGUCUCAGAAAGAGGGCUGCUGUUUCAAGCUCCCUGCCGGAAAACAGUAAAGACAGGAAAAGACUCCGGGAUGGUGGACCCCCCCACCCCCACCACAACCCCCCUGUGGGGCCCCUUCAAAGAAAACACACACUGUUCAAGCAAGACAAAGGCACUCAAUAAACUGGUAAGGUGCUCAGCAAUUUACUACAUGCGAGGCCUGGCUGACAUCACCCAUAAGAUCCAAGCUCUGCCCUCGGACAACUGAAAACACCCGAGCUGCCUGUUUCUCAGGACACAAGUUCUCAAGGUGACCCAUAAUCAUUUUGGUGGUUCUUUCCAGAAGGAAAGACAGGAAUGUCUACUGAUGGGUUGGGAGACUCAUUCGUCAGCAACAGGACAUGGUGGUGUGCUACACACAGGUUCCUGGGGAGAACAGGUUAUUUUGAGGGGUCUACACACAGGCCUGGAAGUAGUCACAGUUGACAAGGCAAUAGGACUGUGGACACAUUUGACUGAGCAACUACAAGAAAUUAAGAAAGAUGGGGAGAAACAGUCUACACCACAGAAAUAAGAGUGCUCAUGGCCUCUCCAACGUUCCCUUCAGGCAACGAGCUAGGGCAGAAGAACCCGGUUGCUGGCUCUGAAUACCUCUGUCCCGCCGACUUCCGGAUCACCAGAAGACAGCUGGCCACACGUCUGUCCUGUUCACGGCGGAGAUGUCGUCCACGAAACUCGGAAACCCUAACCACACCGCAGACCGGACCACGAUACCUAAGGGGCAACCAGGCUUUCCCUAGUUUCAGAGAGUCGGGGCUACUCUUCACUAUGGACUUCUCAUCGCCGUGGUGUCUCUUGUUGUGGAGUGCAGACUCUAGGUGGGUCGUGGGCUUCAGAAGUUGUGGACCUCCGUUUCUACAGCGGAGGCUCAGUAAUUGUGGCUCACAGAGACUCUGCAGUAUGCAGGAUCCUCCCGGACAAGGGAUCGAACCCGCGUCCCCUGCAUUGGCAGGUGGGUCCUUUUCCACUGGACCACCAGGGACGCCUUGGCAUCUGUGCUUGUUAUUUUUCAGCAAGGAGGUCCAGACACCUCCUGCCUUGCCCUGACUCCUGCUUCUGCUCAUUUGCCCACAGUGCCAUGUACCUUCCUUCGAAAGGCCAAAGGAUGUACCAAUCUUAUUUCCUGACCCCCAGAAGAUGUUUGGUUGCAACUCUAUUUCCAGAUAUUCAAGUUUCUGAAACUAUUAAGAUGCUUCCCCCAAAUGCUUCAGCAGAAUCAGGGAGAACACCGAUUUUUUUUUUUAAUUUAAUUAUCCGGUACCACAUUCGCUUGGUCGCUAACAGAAAGGGAAGUAUUCCUUCCUGUCUUACUCCAAUCUGAAAAAGUGACUAAGAGGUUCAAUAGCACGUGUCUGGAGUCCAGAUUCUUGAGCAUCUCCAAGCACAAAACAGCAAGAGGAGCAGGAGAGCCAGGCCCUGGGACACAUCCACCAGAUAUCUGGUCCAGGUGGCUAGAAGCUGCUCUUAAACCCUCAGGACACAGAGGUGGAAGGCACUCAAAUACCAUCAAGGCCUCUCCUUCAAGAGCAGAUGACUCCAACAUGGCCAGCACCUGUCAGCGCUCACAGAACACAGACGCUCUUUGGAUCCUGAUUUGAGCUAACUAACCGAAAACUGGCAUGUGUGACAUGCCUGAACAUGUAGCGGUGAUAUGAAGGAAUCGGUUUUCCUUAUUUUUUAGGCAGUAAUGAUAUCAGUGUGAUAUAUUUAUAUAUAUAAUUAUAUAUUAUAAAA